rnacentral:tRNA from 1 species
GCCUAGGUAGCUCAGUCAGUCAAGUGCCUGACUUCGGCUCAGGUAAUGAUCUCAUGAUUCGUGGGUUUGAGCCCCAUAUCAGGCU